AACGACGGCCAUACCAUGCUGAAUACGCCGGUUCUCGUCCGAUCACCGAAGCUAAGCAGCAUUGAGCUCGGACAGUACUUGGGAGCGAGACCACCUGGGAACACCGAGUGCGACGGCAUCC
rnacentral:rRNA from 1 species